UACGUAGGGGGCUAGCGUUAUCCGGAAUUACUGGGGCGUAAAGGGUGCGUAGGUGGUUUCUUAAGUCAGAGGUGAAAGGCUACGGCUCAACCGUAGUAAGCCUUUGAAACUGGGAAACUUGAGUGCAGGAGAGGAGAGUGGAAUUCCUAGUGUAGCGGUGAAAUGCGUAGAUAUUAGGAGGAACACCAGUUGCGAAGGCGGCUCUCUGGACUGUAACUGACACUGAGGCACGAAAGCGUGGGGAGCAAACAGGAUUAGAUACCCGUGUAGUCCCUGAGCGGG
rnacentral:rRNA from 1 species